rnacentral:tRNA from 1 species
AUUCUUCUAGUAUCAACGCUAAUACAAGUGACCUCCAAUCAUUUAAUCUUGGUUAAAGUCCAAGGAAGAAUA